GGGGGAAUAUUGGACAAUGGGCGCAAGCCUGAUCCAGCCAUGCCGCGUGAGUGAUGACGGCCCUAGGGUUGUAAAGCUCUUUCGCACGCGACGAUAAUGACGGUAGCGUGAGAAGAAGCCCCGGCUAACUUCGUGCCAGCAGCCGCGGUAAUACGAAGGGGGCUAGCGUUGUUCGGAAUCACUGGGCGUAAAGGGCGCGUAGGCGGGUUUCUAAGUCGGGGGUGAAAGCCUGUGGCUCAACCACAGAAUGGCCUUCGAUACUGGCAACCUUGAGACCGGAAGAGGUGAGUGGAACUGCGAGUGUAGAGGUGAAAUUCGUAGAUAUUCGCAAGAACACCAGUGGCGAAGGCGGCUCACUGGGUCCGGGUCUGACGCUGAGGCGCGAAAGCGUGGGGAGCAAACAGGAUUAGAUACCCUGGUAGUCCACGCCGUAAACGAUGGAUGCUAGCCGUUGGCGCGCUUGCGCGUCAGUGGCGCAGCUAACGCUUUAAGCAUCCCGCCU
rnacentral:rRNA from 1 species